CCAAAACAACAUCGGUCACCCACUAAGUCUACAAAAGGGAGCAAGGAUAGUAGGAAAAGCAGGAAGUACACUCUACCGCUAUCAAUCACUACACUAUCAUGCUCUACGCUAACCAACUGUAGGAAAUGCCAAAUCUGACCCAAUCCAAUCGGGACUAUAAGCAUACCCGUCCCCGAGACUGUGAAUACACCCGACCCUGCCCCGUUGCGACUGUCCAGCUACCUCCACACUAACUGGUCCGUGGAGAGCAAGUCCAACUGGCAUGAGCGACACCAACGCGAAAGCACAAAGCCCGUCUCCGGAGUGGCACUCGUGGGCGCUACCCAACCGAGUAUGCAGCGUAUCUCUGUCGAGCUCAAUCAGGCUCUAACUAGCCAAAGUCAAGUAAUCGACUCAAAAUGGUCUAACAACCAACAGGUAACGUGCCCUCGGCACAAUCUGACGCCAAAAAGGCGAUACGGGUCCACCGUCAACUCUGACGGCACCCAACAGUCCGGAACAACCUGAACGACCCUGUAAAAAUCCACUCGGCAUACAAGCACGAGCGUAAAUGUAUUCUAAACUACCUGGAGUACUCGUCUUGAGGAUACUGCGACAGUACAUUUUUAUAACGGCUCCUAGAGCUAAAUCAGGCAGUUUAAACAGGUGACAGGUCCAAAUCGCAGGUUUUCUCCUAAUUCAAUUUCCAAGUCCAACAUGUAUAACCUACUUAAUUUAUUACUACAUGCUUCAAAUUCAGUUUUGUAAUCUAUCAUAUAAUUCAUGAAUUCGAGCUAAAAUAGAUUAUCAAAAAUCGAGAUCUAUACAUGUCGACGAUUAUGAACUUAGGAGUCCAAACCGAUGUAACCCACCUCGCACGCUAAUCCCUCGCAGCACGGAACCCCCUCGGCUGCGACACCACCUGCUGGAUCGACCAAAAACGCCCGAGUCUCGAAAUCAAGCUAACUCCAAACUAAAAACACCAAAAAUCCUUAAUUCAGUCUAAAAUCCACAACAGCAGAGAAGAGAAGGAUUUCGACCAAGCUAACCUUCACCAAAAUUUGCAAGUAAGGGCUUCGUGGAUUCCUCUCGAAGUCCCGAAUCCAACAAACCAAGUCUCGUCGCAAUCCGAUGCUCCUACGUCUCGUACGAGCCAAAAUACCCACAGUCGACGCAGAAAUCUGCAGCAGUAGCACCCGAGCUCGAAAUUAAUGGAAUUGAAGUACUUGGAGGAAUGCCCACAGAUAAAACACUUCAACAUGUACCUAGAAUCAGCACGACGUCAAGGAUGGCGAAAAGCCGCACUCGCCCGACCUCAUCGCAGCAACACGACGUCGAAAGUGUGCUCGAAUGGCUUCGCGGCGCGACGUCGGCGACGAAUUCCCCAACCGAGCUCCUCCCUAGCCUAUGAUCGGUUUGAGAGUGAGAGAGAGGAAGUAGCAGCAGAGGAACUCCCUCUCUCUGUCCUCACAAGGCUAAAUAGAGAGAGGGAGGGCUGGUGAUACAAACGAGGGAGAGAAAAGACCAAAACACCCUCUCACCUACCCUGGUGUACCGGUACACGGGAUCGCGUACCGGUACAGGAGCCAACCCGAGAGCAACCCACGCGCGGCCCAGUGCAGUGUACCGGUACACCUUAAUGGCUGUACCGGUACAGCAAGCAAAAAAACUGCAAUCUGCAGAUUUUCUUCGCUGAAAGUUGCCCUCGCGUCGCACGGAGCCCGUUUUGCUUCUAUUUGACGCCAACGCGACUCGGACUUGUCCCGACACUCUCCAGAGCUAUCGACAAACCUCCAUAGUCAAACACCAGGGAUCUCACAUCCUCCCCCACUACAAAAGGUUUCGUCCGCGAAACCGAAACGUACCUCUGCUCAGGCAUCGAACAAAUAAGGAUAGGCUUCCCUCAUCGCCGUCUCAGACUCCCAAGUCGCCUCCCGCUCAUCAUGAUUCCACUGCACUUUCACCUGCGGGAUGACCCGGUUGCUCAAUUCUUUCGUCUCCCGAGCAAGAAUCCGCAACGGCCGCUCCUCGUAUCUCAGAUCCUCGCCAAUCUCAAGUGGAGUGAAGUCAAUCAAAUGAGAGGGAUCGAAAACGUAUCUCCUCAAUGCUGAGACAUGAAAAACAUCGUGGAUGCCAGCAAGUCGCGGGGUAGAGCUAUCCUGUAAGCAACCGGUCCGAUACGCUCCAAUACCUCGAAAAGGCCAACAAACCGUGGACUAAGCUUUCCACGUACUCCAAAUAGGCGUAUCCCUCUGGACGGCGAGACUUUGAGAAAAACAUGAUCUCCAACCUGAAACUCCAAGUCUCGUCUCCUGGUAUCGGCGUAGCUCCUCUGUCGGCUCUGUGCUGUCAAAAGGUGUCGUCGAACGACUCUCACCUUUUCCUCAGCCUCAAGUAGAAUCUCUGGUCCAAGUGUCCUCCGCUCACCCACAUCACUCCAAAACAGAGGGGAUCGACAUCUGCGUCCAUACAACGCCUCAACGGAGCCAUCUGAAUGCUCGUUUGAUAGCUGUUGUUGUACGCAAACUCAACCAGUCUCACAUGUCGAUACCACCCUCCUCCAAAAUCCAGGACGCAUGCCCUCAGCAUGUCCUCUAGAGUCUGUAUGGUCCGCUCUGACUGACCAUCUGUCUGUGGGUGGAACGCCGUGCUAAAAUGCAGCUGUGUACCCAAGGCUGUCUGCAAACUCCUCCAAAACUGGGAUACAAACCUCGGGUCUCUGUCUGAUACAAUCGACACUGGCACGCCGUGCAGCCUAACGAUCUCAUCCAAGUAUAGCUGCGCAAGUCUCUCCCUGGACCAGGUAGUCUGAACCGGUAGGAAGUGAGCAGACUUGGUCAGUCUGUCCACUAUCACCCAAAUCGCGUCGUAGCCACCCUGCGCUCUAGGCAAUCCAACGACGAAGUCCAUAGUGAUGUACUCCCACUUCCACUCGGGCACUGGCAGACUCUGAAGCUUGCCAGCAGGCACCUGAUGCUCGGCCUUCACCUGUUGGCAAGUCAAACACUGAGCCACAUAUCUGCCAAUGUCCCGCUUCAUUCCAGGCCACCAGAAUCGUGCCUUAAGAUCCUUAUACAUCUUGGUUCCCCCAGGAUGAACCGUAUAAGGGGAACAAUGAGCCUCUCUCAGAAUAUCCGCUCGAAUCUCCGGAUCCACAGGCACACACAGUCGGUCCCUGUACCGUAGUACUCCCGAACUGUCCAAAGCAAAUCCCUCAGCCUGCCCCCUGUCUAGCUGCUCUCUAAUCCUCAACAAGUACGGAUCUCCACUCUGUUUCUCUCGGAUCCUAUCCAACAGAGUGGGCUGUAAAACUAGAGACGUCAGCCUCGCCGUAGACCCAGGGGGUACUAUCUCGAGUCCCAGCCGCUGUAGCUCCUCGAGUAGGGGUCUCUGCUCAGUAAUCCUCAAACUCAGGCUCUGCACUGACUUCCUGCUCAACGCAUCUGCCACCACAUUCGCCCUGCCGGGAUGAUACUGAAUACUAAUGUCAUAGUCCUUCAGUAACUCCAACCACCGGCGCUGCCUCAGAUUCAGCUCCCUCUGUGUGAACAGAUACUUGAGACUUUGAUGAUCGGUGAAUACCUCGCAGUGCUCGCCGUACAAGUAAUGCCGCCAGAGCUUCAAAGCAAAAACCACCGCGGCAAGCUCCAAAUCAUGCGUAGGGUAAUUCUUCUCAUAAUCCUUUAACUGCCGUGAAGCAUAGGCAAUCACCCUACCAUGCUGCAUCAGCACGCAACCAAGUCCACUGUGCGAUGCAUCACUGUAGAUCACGAAUCCAUCCCCCAUCACCGGAAGGGCAAGGAUAGGAGCCGACGUCAACCUCAGUCUCAACUCGUCAAAGCUCCUCUGACAGUCGUCGCUCCAGACAAAACGAAUCCCCUUCCGCGUCAAGCGUGUGAGGGGUGUGGAAAGCUUCGCAAAGCCUUCCACAAACCGACGGUAAUAUCCUGCCAGUCCCAGGAAGCUCCGUACCUCAGUCACCGUCGUCGGUCUAGGCCAAUCUCGAAUCGCCUCAAUCUUCUUCGGGUCCACUGCUACGCCCUCAGCUGAAAUCACGUGGCCCAAGAAAGCAACCUCCCGUAGCCAGAACUCGCACUUCUUUAACUUGGCAUACAACUUCUUCUCGCGCAGAAGCUGUAGCACAAUCCUCAAGUGCUCCUCAUGCUCAGCAUCACUCCGGGAGUAAAUCAGGAUAUCGUCGAUGAAGACUACCACAAACCUAUCCAAGAACGGCUUGAACACUCUGUUCAUCAAAUCCAUGAAUGCAGUAGGGACAUUCGUCAAUCCAAAAGGCAUCACUGUGAACUCAUAAUGUCCGUACCGAGUCUGAAAAGCCGUCUUGGGAACAUCCUCGACCCUCACCCUCAGCUGGUGGUAACCUGACUGGAGAUCAAUCUUCAAGAAGACAUAAGAUCCCUGUAGCUGAUCAAACAAAUCAUCAAUGCGUGGCAAUGGAUACUUAUUCUUGAUGGUCACUUUAUUCAGCUUCCGGUAAUCCACACAUAACCUGAGCGAACCAUCCUUCUUCUUUACAAAUGGCACUGGCACUCCCUAAGACGAUACACUGGGUCUCACAAACCCUCUAUCCAUCAGAUCUUGAAGCUGUGCCUUUAGCUCUCUCAGCUCUGCCGGCGCCAUCCGAUAAGGUACCUUUAAGAUUGGUGCAGUUCCAGGAACUACAUCAAUCACAAACUCAAUCUCCCUCUCCGGCGGCAACGUAGUCAACUCAGGGGGAAACACAUCCGGAAACUCGCGGACUACGGGAAUAUCCUCGAGUCUCUGCGCCGCCGUAGGUACCUCCACAACUGUCGCUAAGAAAGCAAUACACCCGCUACUCAGCAUCUGUCGAGCCCUCGCCGAAGAUAUCUAAGUGGCAAACAGCAUGCUCCUGCAGCCUCUGAAAGUGAACUCCUCCUGGCCUGUCUCGCGAAACAUCACCGUCCUCGCUCCACCGUCGAUGGUAGCAUAGUACCGCGCCAGCCAAUCCAUACCGAGCACAACGUCGAAGUCCUGCAGCUGCCCUAGCACCAACAGGUCUGCGAGCAUGACCCACGAAUCCAACUGCACCGGACACGACCAACAACACUCUGCAACCUAUAAAACAUGGUCCGGGAUCUGUACCUCUCGUGCCUCUGACAAUGCCCCUAACUCUAGACCAUGCAACAAUGCAAAUGCUCGGCUAACAAAAGAAUAUGAGGCUCUAGUAUCAAAAAGAGUACGAGUACGAAUGCCGGAAAUCAAAGUGAUACCUGCCACCACUCGGUCGGCUGCUGUAGAGUCCUCCACCUGAGCUGCAUAGACUCUGCCACUUGGAGCCUGCUGUCACCGCUCACCCUGUCGCGGCAUGGACGACCUAUCCUCCUAACGGUAACUCGGUGCUGCUCUGUAAGUCUGCUGAGGUGUUGGUGGAGCCGAAGCUGAUGAUGGUGCUGGAGAUGCUGCUCGGGGAAAAGCUGCCCUCAUGUGUCCCGGCUGACCACACCCGUAGCACUGGCCCUCCCUCUGCUCACACUGUCUGGGCCAGUGUGGUCCUCCGCAGAUCACACACUGCGGCGUCCUCUCAGGUUGUCCCCUCUGACGAGAGUCCUUGGAUCGCUGACGCCCCGAGAACCCACGACCCUGUGAACGUGAUCGUGGAGGCCUCGGCGGACGCCUGCUACUCAACUGACCUCCGUCGUCUGGAGCUGGGCGCUUCCUGUCCUGACUCGGUCCUGGCCCCUGAGCCCUCUCCCGCAGCGACACCUCUCCUCUCUCCUCCCAUAAUGCCUGCUCAAUGGACGCAUCCAGAGUCCUCGACCUCUGCGCCCUAACAAACCUAAAUAGAUCGGGUCUCAAACCCUGCUCGAACAAAUAGACCCUAUGUGCCUCGUCUCUGGCCACAAACGGAACACAGUUCAGGAGUCUAGUAAACUCCCGAACAUACUCCUGAACUGUCCGCUCGCCCUGCUGGAUCCUCUUCAAAUCCUCCUCAAUCUUCUGUUUCAUGCUGUUGGGAAAAUACAUCCCAUACAGCAUUCCAUAGAACUCAUCCCACCUCAGCUGCGCUGCCUCCAAUCUCUGGUCUCGCCUCGCUCUCCGCCACCAAUCACGUGCAUCACCUGAUAAACAGUGUACUCCCAGAGGUACCUGCUCCCCCUCUGGAACGUACAGAUCCUCAAAUAAUCUCUCCAUCGCACUGACCCAUCCCUCAACAACCCAGGCCUCAGUGCCUCUGCCAUCGAAAAUCAGUGGAUCAAAUCGGCGAAAACGAGCUAACCUCUCCGUCCACCGCUCCUGCUCGGCCUCAGUCAACUAUACGGGCCCCCUAGCAGGCGCAACUGGCGCUACAGGGACUACUGCUGGGGGAGGGGCUGCUGUAGCUGGUGCUGUCACUGGAGUAGUCGGGGGUGGAACAGUCUACUCUGGUACACUCGGUGCUGAACUCGGUGAAUGAGCUAUCCUCUCACACAACCUCUGCAACAACUCCCCCUGCUGCCUCGUCACCUCAGUCAGGGCAGCCAACUGCGCACUCAGAUCAGGGGGUGCGCUAGCCUCAGGUCGCGCACUCGGCUCCACAACAGGGGGUGCACUCGCCUCCGGUCUGUCCUUCUGCUCCUGCCGAGCACUCUGCUCCAUCUGCUCAGGUCUCUCAAAAGGUCCAGCACGAUUCCGCAACGACGGUCGACCUCGGCGACGAUACAUAGCUGAAAAGAAAAAAUCGGGGUCAGAUACCAUACAACACUCUCGACCCAAUCAACGAAAGUCUGGAAGGCUGUCCCUGUUUCCCUCCAAAAUUAUGUCGUCUGCAGCCAACAAAAUUUCUCAGGCCAAAACAGGUACUCCUUCAAUCACUCACCCCACUUUUGGAGGAGUUAAAACAACUAAUCAUUGACUUUCGCAAUAAAUUACGCCUCUCGCGUCUUGCUUCCCUAAGGUUUGCCAAACUUAGGUUUCCUAGGUCCCAACAACCUAUAACAAAGCUCUGAUACCAACUUAAUCUGUCAUGCCCCGGAUGUCUCGUUCCCCGGCCACGCCGACAAAUCCAUCGUAUACAAAGGACUUUCCCCUGUAUACAAAACGUCAAAAGUACCUGUAGAUAUACAAUACUACAAACAGUAGUAUAGAGCUGCUCAAUAAACAGAAGCUAAACAACUGAGUUUCAUAUACAUAGUCGAAGUUCAAAAUACAGAGUUACCCACACUGGCGAGUUAAGUAAGCUAUGUACAUAAACUCAGACAAAACAUCUACCUGCAGUAGGGGUGCCUCUAGCUCUGUCAGUCGAGUAGGGCUCUAGCUCGCGAUGCCCUUGCCUCGAUCCUGAUCCGCGGAAGGCGCAGCAGCCGAAACUUGUGGCUCUGCAAAACAAGAGUAACAACUGGGCGUGAGAACUAUUGCAAAAACAAGUAGUCCUCAGUGGGUACCGCCCAAAACAACAUCGGUCACCCACUAAGUCUACAGAAGGGAGCAAGGAUAGUAGGAAAAGCAGGAAGUACACUCUACCGCUAUCAAUCACUACACUAUCAUGCUCUACGCUAACCAACUGUAGGAAAUGCCAAAUCUGACCCAAUCCAAUCGGGACUGUAAGCAUACCCGUCCCCGGGACUGUGAAUACACCCGACCCUGCCCCGUUGCGACUGUCCAGCUACCUCCACACUAACUAGUCCGUGGAGAGCAAGUCCAACUGGCAUGAGCGACACCAACGCGAAAGCACAAAGCCCGUCUCCGGAGUGGCACUCGUGGGCGCUACCCAACCGAGUAUGCAGCGUAUCUCUGUCGAGCUCAAUCAGGCUCUCAAUAGCCAAAGUCAAGUAACCGACUCAAACUGGUCUAACAACCAACAGGUAACGUGCCCUCGGCACAAUCUGACGCCAAAAAGGCGAUACGGGUCCACCGUCAACUCUGACGGCACCCAACAGUCCGGAACAACCUGAACGACCCUGUAAAAAUCCACUCGGCAUACCAGCACGAGCGUAAAUGUAUUCUAAACUACCUGGAGUACUCGUCUUGAGGAUACUGCGACAGUAUAAUUUUAUAACGACUCCUAGAGCUAAAUCAGGCAGUUUAAACAGGUGACAGGUCCAAAUCGCAGGUUUUCUCCUAAUUCAAUUUCCAAGUCCAACAUGUAUAACCUACUUAAUUUAUUACCACAUGCUCCAAAUUCAGAUUUGUAAUCUAUCAUAUAAUCCAUGAAUUCGAGCUAGAAUAGAUUAUCAAAAAUCGAGAUCUAUACAUGUCGACGAUUAUGAACUUAGGAGUCAAAACCGAUGUAACCCACCUCGCACGCUAAUCCCUGGCAGCACGGAACCCCCUCGGCUGCGACACCACCUGCUGGAUCGACCAAAAACGCCCGAGUCUCGAAAUCGAGCUAACUCCAAACUAAAAACACCAAAAAUCCUCAAUUCAGUCUAAAAUCCACAACAGCAGAGAAGAGAAGGAUUUCGACCAAGCUAACCUUCACCAAAAUUUGCAAGUAAGGGCUUCGUGGAUUCCUCUCGAAGUCCCGAAUCCAACGAACCUAGUCUCGUCGCAAUCCGAUCCUCCUACGUCGCGUACGAGCCAAAAUACCCACAGUCGACGCAGAAAUCUGCAGCAGUAGCACCCGAGCUCGAAAUUAAUGGAAUUGAAGUACUUGGAGGAAUGCCCACAGAUAAAACACUUCAACAUGUACCUAGAAUCAGCACGACGUCAAGGAUGGCGAAAAGCCGCACUCGCCCGACCUCCUCGCAGCAACACGACGUCGAAAGUGUGCUCGAAUGGCUUCGCGGCGCGACGUCGGCGACGAAUUCCCCAACCGAGCUCCUCCCUAGCCUAUGAUCGGUUUGAGAGUGAGAGAGAGGAAGUAGCAGCAGUGGAACUCCCUCUCUCUGUCCUCACAAGGCUAAAUAGAGAGAGGGGGGGCUGGUGAUACAAACGAGGGAGAGAAAAGACCAAAACACCCUCUCACCUACCCUGGUGUACCGGUACACGGGAUCGCGUACCGGUACAGGAGCCAACCCGAGAGCAACCCGCGCGCGGCCCAGUGCAGUGUACCGGUACACCUUAAUGGCUGUAUCGGUACAGCAAGCAGAAAAAC
rnacentral:lncRNA from 1 species